UACAGAGGAGCCAAGCGUUGUCCGGAUUGACUGGGCGUAAAGCGCACGCAGGCGGACGCGCGCGUGGGGUGUGAAAUCUGGCCGCUUAACGGCCAGGCGCCAUCCCAUACGGCGGGUCUGGAGCCUUGCAGAGGUCGGUGGAAUUGCCGGUGUAGUGGUGAAAUGCGUAGAGAUCCGGAGGAACACCAGUGGCGAAGGCGACACGCUGGGCCAUACCUGACGCUAAAGCGCGACAGCAUGGGGAGCAAACGGG
rnacentral:rRNA from 1 species